UCGUGUCGUGAGAUGUUGAGUUAAGUCCCGCAACGAGCGCAACCCUUAUCAUUAGUUGCUACCAUUUAGUUGAGAACUCUAAUGAGACUGCCGGUGAUAAACCGGAGGAAGGCGGGGACGACGUCAAGUCAUCAUGGCCCUUAUGGGAUGGGCUACACACGUGCUACAAUGGUCGGUACAAACAGUUGCGAAGCCGCGAGGUGGUGCUAAUCUGAAAAACCGAUCGUAGUCCGGAUUGGAGUCUGCAACUCGACUCCAUGAAGUCGGAAUCGCUAGUAAUCGUGAAUCAGAAUGUCACGGUGAAUACGUUCCCGGGCCUU
rnacentral:rRNA from 1 species